rnacentral:rRNA from 1 species
AUUGAACGCUGGCGACAGGCCUAACACAUGCAAGUCGAGCGAGCGGAGGACGGGUGAAUAAUGUCUGGGGACUGCCCGAUAGAGGGGGAUAAAUACUGGAAACGGUGGAUAAUACCGCAUCCUGUAGGAUAACCAAUAUGGGAUUAGCUAGUAGGUAAGGUAAUGGCUUACCUAGGCGACUAGCCCUAGCUGGUCUGAGCGGAUGAUCCGCAACAAUGGGACUGAGACACGGUCCAGACUCCUCCGGAGGCAGCAGUGGGGAAUAUUGCACAAGGGGCGCAAGCCUGAUGCAGCCAUGCCGCGUGUAUGAAGAAGGCCCUAGGGUUGUAAAGUACUUUCAGUCGGGAGGCGUUACCGACAGAAGAAGCACCGGCUAACUCCGUGCCAGCAGCCGCGGUAAUUC